rnacentral:rRNA from 1 species
CUACCCGCUGAACUUAAGCAUAUCAAUAAGCCGGAG